rnacentral:rRNA from 1 species
GAUGAACGCUGGCGGCGUGCCUAAUACAUGCAAGUCGAGCGGAGCGGGGACGGGUGAGUAAAACGUAGAUAACCUCCUAUAAGACUGGGAAAACUUCGGCAAACCGGUGCUAAUCCGGAAACUUAUAGAUGGAUCCGCGCUGCAUUGGCUAGUUGGUAAGGUAACGGCUUACCAAGUCAACGAUGCAUAGGCGAACUGAGAGGGUGAUCGGCCACACUGGAACUGAGACACGGUCCAGACUCCUACGGGAGGCAGCAGUAGGGAAUCUUGCACAAUGGGCGAAAGCCUGAUGGAGCCACGCCGCGUGUGUGAUGAAGGUCUUCGGAUCGUAAAGCUCUGUCAUUAGGGAAGCGGUACCAAAACAGAAAGCCACGGCUAACUACGUGCCAGCCGCCGCGGUAAUAC